CUCAUUAAAACAGUUAUAGUUUCCUUGGCGGUCUCUCGUUAUAUGGAUAUCCGGGGUAAUUCUAGAGUUAAUACAUGCGUAAAAACCCACUUCUGCGGAAGGGUUGUAUUUAUUAGAUACAGAACCAAUCCCCUCCGGCGAUUUUGGAUGAUUCAUGAUAAAUGAACGGAGCGUAUGGCUUGGGCCGGCUAUGUCUCAUUCAAGUUUCUGACCUAUCAGCUAUCGACGGUAGGGUAUUGGCCUACCGUGGCAUUGACGGGUAACGGAGAAUUGGGGUUCGAUUCCGGAGAGGGAGCCCGAGAAACGGCUACCACAUAUAAGGAAGGCAGCAGGCGCGCAAAUUACCCA
rnacentral:rRNA from 1 species